CCUACGGGGAGCAGCAGUCGAGAAUCAUUCACAAUGGUGGAAACCCUGAUGGUGCGACGCCGCGUGGGGGAAUGAAGGACUUCGGAUUGUAAACCCCUGUCAUGUGGGAGCAAAGUAAAAAGAUAGUACCACAAGAGGAAGAGACGGCUAACUCUGUGCCAGCAGCCGCGGUAAUACAGAGGUCUCAAGCGUUGUUCGGAAUCACUGGGCGUAAAGCGUGCGGAGGAUGUGUCGUAAGGCGGGUGUGAAAGGCGCGGGCUCAACCCGCGGACGGCAGAUGAUACUGGGAGACUAGAGUAAUGGAGGGGGAACCGGAAUGCUCGGUGUAGCAGUGAAAUGCGUAGAUAUCGAGAGGAACACUCGUGGCGAAGGCGGGUUCCUGGACAUUAACUGACGCUGAGGCACGAAGGCCAGGGGAGCGAAAGGGAUUAGAUACUCCUGUAGUC
rnacentral:rRNA from 1 species